AUAUAUCAACCUCUUCAGCUUUUUGCAUGUUGAGUGUUGGAUGUGGGGGUAUCUCUUGCUGGACUCUAUAAAAUGAGGUCAGCUCCCCUAAAAUGCAUCAGCGAAACGAUUUGUUUACCGCUCAUUGGUGUGAUAACUAUCUACGCUAUUGACGGUGACGCAAGUUUAGCUUCUAACAGUCCAUUAACUUGGACAAUCUCUUAUUA
rnacentral:misc_RNA from 1 species